CUGCCCACUGAUAAAAAAAUUUAAGGGCCGCAGUAUCCUGACUGUGCAAAGGUAGCAUAAUCGUUAGUUUUUUAAUUGAAAUCUUGUAUGAAUGGUUUGACAAGAAAAAAUCUGUCUUUAUAAUUAUUUAUUGAAUUUAACUUUUAAGUGAAAAGGCUUAAAUAAAUUAAAAAGACGAUAAGACCCUAUAAAAUUUAAUAUUAAUUAAUCAUUUAGUAAAAUUUUGUUAUAUAAAUAUUUAAUGAUUAAUUAUUAUUUUAUUGGGGUGAUAAUGGUAAAAUGACUAUUAACUGUUUAUUAUUUUAUUACAAAAAUUAUUGAAUAUAUUUUAAUAAAUGAUCCUUGUUAAAGAUUAAGAGUUUAAGUUACUUUAGGGAUAACAGCGUUAUUUUCUUUGAGAGUCCUUAUCGAGAAGAGAGUUUGCGACCUCGAUGUUGAAUUAAAAUAUCUAUAUAAUUGUAGCAGUUAUAUAAGAAGGUCUGUUCGACCUUUAAAUUUUU
rnacentral:rRNA from 1 species